AGUGCUCCUCCACCACCAGCAUUAGCGCCAAUUUCUAGCAAAAUAUCACAAGAUCUCAUAGUGUGAGAGAUGCCAUGCCACUUCUUUGCCAGUGAUGGAGGCAACAGGUGUGGGAGCAGGCCAGUGUGGCAGUGGCGGGGGUGGGGGUGGUAUUUAAUGUUUCACCUCAAGCAGCAAAACAGGACGCAGUGGCCCUAACUAUAUUUGUCAUUCCCAGUGACAUCAUCAUAUAAAUGCACUUGACUGAAUAUGUAGCAUCAUGAUAUUCUUUCACUACGUGAUCAAUAAUUGCCUGGGAUUGUCCAUUUCACUAAUUCCUUGAAGAAGGAGGAAGAAGCGGUCGCUAGGAAGGGUGUAUGUUGAUAUCACACAGAGGCAAGAGCAAUUUGGGAGGAAAGGACAGCUAACAAGAUUGGGAAAAGAUAUAAUACUCUAAAACAUGACAUACGUCCAUGCUGUGAGUGACAGGAUUUAUUCCUGCAGUAGAUAAAAAAGAAUGAACUUUCAUCAUCCCAGUCUUGUAACAUGACUCCCCUGGGAUAGGAACAAUCUUUGUAGCAACAAACUGUACUUUCACAAGCUAAAGGGGGGAACUUGAAAGUGUCUGGUGCGCUGAUAAAAAAAGGAGCAGAUCUGGAAACCACAGAAGAACAUGUUGCAACAAAGAGCUUUGAUGCAAUGGAAUGUUGUUUUGAUAUCACUCUCUUACAUAAAACAAGACAUUACUAGAACUGAAAUGGAGAAUCUUUGGAAGGCUGUAAACAAUAUUUGUUUUUGCAAUCUAUCAAGAUAAUCUAAGGAUUUGCAUUUUGCUCCCCAUUAAAAAUUUCAUUGGUUUUACAUCU